rnacentral:rRNA from 1 species
UACGGGGGGGGCAAGCGUUGUUCGGAAUUACUGGGCGUAAAGGGCUCGUAGGCGGCCAACUAAGUCAGACGUGAAAUCCCCAGGCUUAACCUGGGAAUGGCAUUUGAAACUGGCGAGCUAGAGUGUGAUAGAGGAUGGCGGAAUUCCCGGUGUAGCGGUGAAAUGCGUAGAGAUCGGGAGGAACAUCCGUGGCGAAAGCGGCUUCCUGGACCAGUACCGACGUUCAGGCACGAAAGCGUGGGGAGCAAACAGG